rnacentral:rRNA from 1 species
UAAUGGGUGAUGGCGUGCCUUUUGUAGAAUGAACCGGCGAGUUACGAUUUGAUGCAAGGUUAAGCAGUAAAUGUGGAGCCGUAGCGAAAGCGAGUCUGAAUAGGGCGUUUAGUAUUUGGUCGUAGACCCGAAACCAGGUGAUCUACCCUUGGUCAGGUUGAAGUUCAGGUAACACUGAAUGGAGGACCGAACCGACUUACGUUGAAAAGUGAGCGGAUGAACUGAGGGUAGCGGAGAAAUUCCAAUCGAACCUGGAGAUAGCUGGUUCUCUCCGAAAUAGCUUUAGGGCUAGCCUCAAGUGAUGAUUAUUGGAGGUAGAGCACUGUUUGGACGAGGGGCCCCUCUCGGGUUACCGAAUUCAGACAAACUCCGAAUGCCAAUUAAUUUAACUUGGGAGUCAGAACAUGGGUGAUAAGGUCCGUGUUCGAAAGGGAAACAGCCCAGACCACCAGCUAAGGUCCCAAAAUAUAUGUUAAGUGGAAAAGGAUGUGGCGUUGCCCAGACAACUAGGAUGUUGGCUUAGAAGCAGCCAUCAUUUAAAGAGUGCGUAAUAGCUCACUAGUCGAGUGACACUGCGCCGAAAAUGUACCGGGGCUAAACAUAUUACCGAAGCUGUGGAUUGUCCUUUGGACAAUGGUAGGAGAGCGUU